UGGGGAAUAUUGGACAAUGGGGGCAACCCUGAUCCAGCCAUGCCGCGUGAGUGAUGAAGGCCUUAGGGUUGUAAAGCUCUUUCGCCCGGGAAGAUAAUGACGGUACCGGGUAAAGAAGCCCCGGCUAACUUCGUGCCAGCAGCCGCGGUAAUACGAAGGGGGCUAGCGUUGUUCGGAAUUACUGGGCGUAAAGCGCACGUAGGCGGACCAUUAAGUCAGGGGUGAAAGCCCGGGGCUCAACCUCGGAAUUGCCUCUGAUACUGGUGGUCUAGAGUCCGAGAGAGGUGAGUGGAACUCCGAGUGUAGAGGUGAAAUUCGUAGAUAUUCGGAAGAACACCAGUGGCGAAGGCGGCUCACUGGCUCGGAACUGACGCUGAGGUGCGAAAGCGUGGGGAGCAAACA
rnacentral:rRNA from 1 species